rnacentral:rRNA from 1 species
CCUACGGUGGGCAGCAGUGGGGAAUAUUGCGCAAUGGGCGAAAGCCUGACGCAGCGACGCCGCGUGAGGGAUGAAGGUCUUCGGAUCGUAAACCUCUGUCAGCAGGGAAGAACGGUCACUGUGCUAAUCAGCAGUGAAUUGACGGUACCUGCAAAGGAAGCAGCGGCUAACUCCGUGCCAGCAGCCCCGGGAAUACGGAGGGUGCGAGCGUUAAUCGGAAUUACUGGGCGUAAAGCGCUCGUAGGCGGUAUGGCUAGUCAAGGGUGAAAUCCCCGCGCUCAACGUAGGAAACGCCUUUGAAACUGGCAAACUGGAGUGUGAGAGAGGAUAGUGGAAUUCCAGGUGUAGGAGUGAAAUCCGUAGAUAUCUGGAGGAACAUCAGUGGCGAAGGCGACUAUCUGGCACAUAACUGACGCUGAGGAGCGAAAGCGUGGGGAGCAAACAGGAUUAGAUACCCCAGUAGUC